rnacentral:lncRNA from 1 species
CUCUAUCUAAAAAGGUUUUAAACUUUUGUGAUAUUUUUUCUCUGUAAUUUUGGAUCUUAGCGUGACAACGAUUUUGAUAUUCUUUUCACCCGUUGCUGCCUCGAUCUAAUUUCAAGAAAAUGUUUGGUGGAUAUUUUUGGUCAUAAAAUCGAUAUGAAGACUCGAAUUCGAUAUGAAAACUCGCUACGGCCGAUCACCGGAUCGACUACACGGUGAUCGACCACAAUUUCAAUCCUACGACCGUAAUGAGGUAUAUCCCAUUGCGACGGUGAACGAUAUCCGAUCUCGAUAGAUUUGGGCGGUUUUUCUCCAACCGUGAUGGGUUCCAGACCUGGAAUCGGCCGAUCAUCAUCGGACCUGGAACCGCGAUGACAUGGGUUCCGGCCGAUCGUUAUCGGACCUGGAACCGUGAUGGGUUCCGGACCUGGACCCACGAUCGGCCGGUGGAUCGACUGAUUGUCAUCGGACCUGGAACCACGAUGGCAAUUGAAGAGGGGAGGUGAUGACGCAAGGCCGGAGUGACGGCCGUUACCGUCGAUCUAGAUCUCCCUCUCCUCGUAUCUCUAGUAAACUCAUUAAAGUUAACCAGCUACUGAUCCUUAGGUGAGCAGUAUUAAUAGCAACAUUAUCUUGCUCAUGAGGCUAGGCUUGCCAGAUACUCAUCUGGGCCUAAGCCCAAGUCGUAGUCGGGUCGAGUCCCCGGAGACGACCCAGGUGGUGUUUGGGUCGGGCUCAGGUUUAACCCAAAUCAGAUUCUUACUAGGUCUGGGUUACGAGUUGAGUCACUACUGCUGUUAGUCUUGGACCACAUACAGUCGGAUGUUAAAUACUGCUGGGUGUCAUCAGGAUGCAACGGUCGGAUUUGGCCAUCGGUAGCUUGGUGGAACCGCAUGAAAAACAGUUCCUGUUUAUUUAUGAUUUAUUAAUAAAAAAUUUAAUCUUCUAGAUCUGAUCUCACAUUUUUUAGGAAUUUUAGUCACAAAUUUUGGACUCUUUUAUUAUUAUUCUAUAAACAAUGGAGUCCACACGUACCAUACGCUGAUUUAAUAACUCAUAUAACAGGUUUUGCCUUUUUACUUCAAACAAACAAUAAUGAUUUAGACGUCAAAUUUCAAUACGUUAGGCCAUUAGAUCGACAUUUCGUCGUACAUAAGUUAAUAUCUUUUCUUAUAUAUUUUUUUUCGUCAUACGUACGUUAGUGUCUUGUACAGUACAUUAUUAUAGCUAUUUGAUUAAAAAUUAAAAGACAAGAUGCGCACGACGUAUCUUGACGCAACUGAAAAUUAGAUUUAUAUAUAAACUCUUAAUUCUUUUUUAAAUCUUUUUUUUCCUUCCAUUGGGUGUAAGUAAAGCUCGCCUCGAACUCGCGAGCUUCGAGUCUGACUAUUUUUAAAACAAGCUGAGCCCGAGUUCGGCCAAACUAAGCUCGACGAAGCAUGAGCUGGGCUGGUUGGACACCCUGAUCCUUUACAAUUUAAUUUUAAAAAAAACUUUACAAUUAAAACCUCUACAGCUAAGCAAACCGCCAACCCGUUUGACAUUUUGACCAGAAGUUUCUAUUUUAUGUUUCCGCGGUCCCUUCAACUUCAAUCAUCGUCGUUCCUUCCUCCUCAUCUUCCACCACCACUCUUUAGUCUU